AUAAGUAUCAGGAAUUGGCAAAGCAGCAGUCAAAAAAUGCGAAGCCAAAACGUGGGAGGAGCUCUAAAAGCAAAGGCCGAAGCCAAUUGGAACAAGCAAAGAACAAGGGCGUGAUUCUCCUGCAGUUCCUAUUCCCCAAAAGCAAUCUCAGACAAAGACUCGAAGGUCCCAGAAAAGAACAAGGCACGCCCGCCUCCGUUCUGGAAUUCCCGAAGCUGGCCGCGCGCUGAACAGAGGAAGGGGCUGUCGCAGCAGGAGCCGAGCCGAGCCGAGCCGUCGAGGAUGAUGAUGGCGGUGGUCGUGGCGGGGCUGCUGGAGGAGUACGCGGCGGCGGUGAGGCGGCUGUCGGAGCGGCUGUUGCCGCCGCGGGUGAGCUUGGGCGGCGGCCUCCGGAACUUGCGCCUGGCUUAUUCUGCCGCCUCUUCCUCGGACGACGAUGCAUCCUCCUCCUCCUCCUCCUCCUCCUCGGCUUCGCGCUCUUCUUCCACUUUCAUCGUCUAUUUCUGAUUUCAUUCAUUCAUCUCUCUGUUCUGCGCGGGUCGAGUUGUAUUCAUUGGUUCUGACAUUUUUUAGGAGCAAUUUUUUUUUCGCUUAAUCAUUUUUUUUUUGUGCGAAUGGUAUUUCGAUUUUCGGGCAAAUAAUAAUUAUAUUAUCUUUUUUGUAUCUGGUGGAUGGAUCGUUGAAGAAAUUAAAGAAUUUCCGUCGAAGGAACGCUUCUUUUU